AACGAACGCUGGCGGCAUGCCUAACACAUGCAAGUCGAACGAAACCUCCGGGUCUAGUGGCGCACGGCUGCGUAACGCGUGGGAACCUGCCCUUAGGUUCGGAAUAACUCUCCGAAAGGGGUGCUAAUACCGGAUCAUGUCUUCGGACCAAAGAUUUAUCGCCUUUGGAUGGGCCCGCGUUGGAUUAGCUAGUUGGUAGGGUAAAAGCCUACCAAGGCGACGAUCCAUAGCUGGUCUGAGAGGAUGAUCAGCCACACUGGAACUGAGACACGGCCCAGACUCCUACGGGAGGGAGCGGUAGGGAGUAUUGGAAACUGGGCGAAAGCGUGGUCCAGCAAUGCCGCGUGAGUGAUGAAGGCCUUAGGGUUGUAAAGCUGUUUUACACGGGAUGAUAAUGACAGUACCGGGAGAAUAAGCUCCGGCUAACUCCGUG
rnacentral:rRNA from 1 species